rnacentral:lncRNA from 1 species
GCUUCACUUCUCUAUCAAAAAUCCAACUGAAUGAAAUACUGGGUGCUUCCUUGGCUCUUUCUUGAGCUCUCUCCUCCAGCCUUCUAAUUCUUGGAGCAAGUCCACACACAAAGUCUUGGGCUUUACGCCCAUCAGCUGAAAGUCCGGUUAGGUCCUUCACCUUCCAUCUGUCAACCAGGUACUCUACUAUAUCAGCAUAGUCCUUGGCAGUGUAAACCCCAAGUCUUUGGGCAACAGCUGAGUAGUGGUCGAAAAGGGUGUCAUCUCGGCCAUCAUAGAUGAACUCGGCUGGCAUGGUGAUUUUCUUCCUCAUCAUGUCAGCAAAGGCCAGGACUGUUUCAUCAGGAUCAAUUUCAAAGAGCUUUUCAACAAUUUUGGUGUAUGCAGUCUCAUGACGCUUUUCAUCUGAUGCAAUGCUACCACAAAUUUGAGCCAAAUUCAUGUCCCCGUGCUCCUUGGCAAGCCUGGCUGUAUUUGCAUGGGAGAUGAAAGUUGCCCUUUCUUGGAAUGUUGUGUAGAUGAAUCCUCGAUAUGGACUAUUCUCUGUAUGGGGAUCCUACAAAUAUACAGAAGAAAACUUAAAAAAUUGAUCAAUAGGGCAAAAAGAGCUCAGUUUAACACCGUCGGAUUGUAACCAUAUACAAUGGCAUCUUUCAUGUUUGCUUUUGAGUGAAAAGUAAUUAAAUGUCAAUAAUCCUCCAAAAUUGCACUCCUUAACGAUGGUAAAAGAGUAAGACCUCAUUAGGGGACACUUUUACAAAAAUUUAGUGAAAUUCCAAAUGUGAAGUUGCGCAAUGUUAAUAUGCUUCAUUUUCACAAGGUUUUACCCCAAAUUAGAAGAUGAAAAGAAACAAAAAGAAAGGCGAACAUGACUUUGAAGAACUAUGUCCAUGGGUUUUCUCCGCCCUCCACGCACAAAGAAAACACUACCAAAAGACUAAAGAAAAUAGAACUUAUACUGUCUUAGAGACUGCAAUAUGCUGUCCAUCAAUGAACUGCAAAGGAUUCAAUAUAGUUCUGCACAUUAAACGACGAGAAGUGAGUCAAUUGUGUCGCAAGCAUCUUACCAUUCCUGAUCCAAUCAAAUACUGGAUUGUCUUCUCAACUUGCCUCAUGUCCACUCUUCCAGACAAGUAGAGAUACUUAUUAAGUAGAUCACCAUGCCUGUUUUCUUCUGCCGUCCAUGCCCUCGUCCAAAUUGCCCAAGGAGUAAGGCUAGCACCUGUUUCAUCACAAGUUCCAUCUAAGGUAUUGAGCAUUGUUUGGUAAGUUGGAAGGGCUUCCUCUGUGAUCAUAUCACCAACCAAUACAACAUAGUAAUCAUCUGGAAUCUCCUUUGCCCUUUGCCUAAGUUCUUUGACUUGCUCCUCAAAUCCAUCCGAAUUUGGAUCAGGGAGAAAAUCCUGGGGUUGCCAACAUUUUUCAACUGGUUUGAGAUGAGUUAGAAUGUUCUUCUCAGCCCAGUUCUCCAAAGAUUUAAAGAUCUCAAUCUUCUGAGGUGGCAUGGAGUGGGUGACCUGACCAUGCACCUCCCUAGGAGGCAUGAAAGGCUUUUUGAGAUUUUCAACUUCUCUGCAUUAUGUAAAAUGAAUUUGAAACUACAUUCUCAUAGAUCAGAUAUAUCAGUAAGGAUUAAAAGGCAACAACAAAUUAUAAAAGCACAAAUCCCAUCUCACAAAUUGGGCUACUGCAUGUUCCAGGUAUCCAGCACAUGAAAACUAUAAAGCAAGGUAUAAUGGAAUAUGCAAUAGCAAUGUAAUUAGACAGCUUUAUGUGUUCACAAAAAGAAAAGCAGUUCUGCACCAAAAAAAAAAAAAAGGAACAGCAGCUUUAUUAUGUGUAACAUACCCUAUGCCACUACUUACACUACCAGACUUAAUUUCAUUAAUGGAGUCAAUUAGUUACUUGGCUGUAAAGUAUAAUUCAAUUUAGAAGGAAAAUACUUUGUUGUUAACGGUGCAAUUAAUGUACAGCCACCAGAAAUGACCAAUACCAGGAAGAAAACUCAAGGAAAAUUAUUUACAUGUUCUUUUUCUAGUACAUGAAUAUUUUGCUAUGACUCAAAAUUUGCAAGGAAAUAAUAAAAUAUCCUUGAACGAUAAAUGGAAGUGAAGAAUGUUGGAAGUAUCAGCCAAAUAAUCUGUUGAUUAAAGUGUUAACAUAAAGUAGAUUCAAAGACGAAACAGAAGCACCAUCAAUAAAUUGUGCAAGAAAUUAUAAAAGACAAAGUUUAAAAAAUUAUCAACCAUGAGAAACAUUUUAUUCUGUUUAAAAACCAGACCUAAAAACCAAAAAAAGGAUGAGAAUAACAGAGAACUGAGGACUCAGGACAACAUAUUCUGAACUACUUCUACCAAAUGCAAUAUUCUUUUAAAAAUAUAGAUUCAACAAUAUUGCAAAAAAAGUAACAUGAGAUUACUUAAAGGAAAAGAAAAAGGAAAGCCUUGUUACCUAUCAACAUGUCUAGAGAAUCUAAACCACUUCCACCAACUUGAAACAAAGAAAAAUGGAAUAGAAGGAAAUAUAGUUGGAAAAAGUUUUAGAAAAAAAAAUCAGCUAAUAAAAUGUAAUUACACCAGAUAAAUGAACCAAAAAUGAAAAUAUCAUUUUGUGUGGAGACCCAAGAUUUGAAAUUGAAUAAAAACACAGAAGGCACAGUGAUAUAGCAGAAACAAUCUCAUAUAGCAUGGAAACCCCAAGAGCAUAUGCAGAGACAGGCAUGGAUUAAGAUCAUAAGACAUCACCAAACAAAAGAGAGGUCUUGAAAGCCAUGUCAGAUAGCAAAAAUAACAAAAACCCAGAUCCAAAAUCAGCUAUAAGUAAAGAAAGAUCCAUGAUUUCACAAGAAAACAAUGAAUAAAAAGUAAACAAAAAAAAAAAAAAAAGACACUAACUUGGAGCCAGAAGGAAGAGUGGAGACCAUGGAAACCUUGGGAGAUCUGAGGCUGGCCUUUGGUGUAAGACCAAAAGAAUGGAGUUUCUGAGAUUGUGAGGCAAAGGGAUUGAAUUUCAAAGCCAUUUUUUUUUCCUUUUCGCUUUAGG